GCCUUCGUGGUGUAGUAGUCAGCACGCUCGGCAAGUAUUCGAGAGGUCCGUGGUUCGAAUCCGACGAGGGCA
rnacentral:tRNA from 1 species